AAUCAACGCUGGCGGCGUGCCUCAGACAUGCAAGUCGAACGCGAAAGUUUCCUUCGGGGGAUGAGUAGAGUGGCGCACGGGUGAGUAACACGUAGGUAAUCUACCUUUGGAUGGGGAAUAACAAUCGGAAACGGUUGCUAAUACCGCAUAAUGCAGCGGCACCUAAUGGUGACAGUUGUUAAAGCGGGGGAUCGAAAGACCUCGCGCCUGAAGAGGAGCCUGCGGCGGAUAGCUAGUUGGUAAGGUAACGGCUUACCAAGGCGACGAUCCGUAGCCGGCCUGAGAGGGCGGUCGGCCACACUGACACUGACAUACGGGUCAGACUCCUACGGGAGGCAGCAGUCGGGAAUUUUGGGCAAUGGGCGAAAGCCUGACCCAGCAACGCCGCGUGAAGGAUGAAAUCCCUCGGGAUGUAAACUUCGCAAGAACGGG
rnacentral:rRNA from 1 species